GGCGAAGGGAGGGGGAUGGGGAUUGAAAAUCAAAUGAAGACUUGGUGGUAAAAAUCACAUGUGUCUAUAUGUUUGCCACGAAGAUGCUGUGUUAGCAGGCACGCAAACAACAGCAGUGAUCCAAGUGUAGGGGUGCACGCCUGUAAUCCCAGAACUCAGACGUGGAGCCAGGUGACCCCUCAAGGCCAGCCUGGUCUACACAGUGUAUUCUGGGCUACAUAGCAAAACUUUGUCUCAACAAGUGUCCCAUCAAGCCCAAACCUAGACCACCAACAACGACAUACUUGUUACUCAUCUCUGUCAUAGCUCUUUGAUAACCCAGGGCUUUAAUUGCAGAUAAAUCAGCCUGGAUCUAUGAAUCCAGGCCUUGACCUCUUGUUAGUGCUGAAGCUCCUGGUGGCCUUCGUGUCAUCUUGUGGCUGCACUCAUCAGUUUUCUUGGCGAGGGUCUAAACAGCUUGCUUUGGGUAGCGCAGCAGUGUUUCUAACCUUAUCUUGCAUGUUUAUGUGUGGAGGUGUUUCUUUUUCUUAAGCCUCAUGGGCUGAGCUGCGGCUCUUCAACUGUUUUCUUCUAGAGAUGUCAGUCCAUCAUGGUGGGACUGGUAUGAUACAGCAGGACAUCCUGGCCACCAAAGCUUUAUAUCAGCAAGAAGACUAUUCAUCUACCACUCACGUUCUCACUGGGGUAGUGCUUCAGAGACUGUUCAUCUACCAUUCACAUGCUCACUGGAAGUUUGUCCUUGUGUUCUCAGUAUGGCGAACUCUUUGGUCAAAUAGCUGGCUGUUGGUCUGUCUGGAGUCCUGACACACUUUGCUUACUAGGCCAAUCUUUCUAGCUCUUGGUUAAAGAUGAGAGUUUGUGACUAGUUCUCUCACUGAACAUUUAUGAAGCCGUGAUAGAGUUACUGAUGUGAUUUUCAUAUUCUUACAUCAUGGGAAAUAAAUUGAGGAGAGUGAGAAAGAUGAUAGAAUGGCCAUUUCAUUUAGUGGCACAGUUAGAAUUUAUACACUUCUUGGUUAAAGUCUCUAUUUUGUAGAGAAAAGGCUCAUUAAUCAUCCCACCCCACACCCCAAAUUACCUUAGUAACAUAAAAGGUCAUUAGCUCCAGAUCGCUUGGAUUUAAAAGCAUUUGAAAUACUGUGAAAAUUACCAAGAUCCACAGGACACAGAUACGUCACAAGAGCACAGCUUGAUAGACUUUCUUGGUUCAGGGUUGCCACAAAGCUUUAUGUUUGGGUAAAAAAUACCCAGUCUCUAAAAAGUGUUAAAGGAAGGUGUGCCUGGAGCAAAACACUUGGUUUUAGGCAUUCAGUCCUAGAGUUAGUAGGCACUAAGGAGAAGCGAUCCUCCACUGCAUUCUACUUUUCUGUGAGCGUGGGAAUGUUUUAGGAACGUUCCGCUUCUCACUGGCCAACAUCUACGGCUGCCUUUUCUGCAUCACAGAUGUGUUUGGUAACUGCAUUUCCUGGCUUUAUAACCCAUGCCUGUCAAGCUGGUAACACAAUACCAUACACUGAGGAGGUAAGUGACAGGUUAUUUAUUCCUCACAAUUCUGGAGGCAGGACAGUCCUAUCUCAAGAUAGCAGCCUGUUUAGGUCCUGGUGAGAGCUCUCUCUCUCGCAGAUGCAGUCUUCUUGAUGUGUCCUUAGAAGGCCUUUCCUCCUGGUGUGUCAAGGGUGUCCCUUUUGUGUACUAAUACUGGACAGAACACAAUCCUUGUGACCUCCUUUAACUAUGGUCUCCUUGGUUCUGAUCUCUAGCUGUGGGACUUAAGGGUUAGGGCUUCCAUGCAGGAAUGUUGGGUUGAUACAAAUGAAGGGAUUGUUUCUUCUUCCAACUUAAAAGUUUAAAAAAAGUGAGCUUAUAACCCAUCAAAUAAAGACAGUCACCACUAUACCGAUUGUUUCAGAAUUCAUGUUAGCAACUGCUCACAAAACCCUCAUGUGUCACAGAAACUAAAAUAGAACUGAAAACACAAUGCCAUGAUUCAGAACAAUCUGCAGUUGUUUUUUUUUUUUUUUUUUUUUCUAUCAGUGGAACAAAAUGUCACUGGUCGCUGUGUCUACAACCUUCCACUUGGUGCUGGAGUGACUUUUUCCUUGAGUGACAGUGUCUUAGUCAGUGCUCUAUUGCUGUGAAAAGACAGCACCGCCACGGCAACUCUUAUGAAAAGAAAGUAAUUUGGGUUUGCUUACAGUGUCAGAGGGCUAGCCCAUAGUCAUGGUAAGAAGCAUGGCGGCCAGGCAGACAUAGUGAGGGGGUAGGAGAUCUGCAGGCUGCAGGAGAGCCAGGGAUCUGGCUUGGGCUUUUGAAAUCUCAAAGCCCACCCGCCAGUGAUACCUUCCUCCAACAAGACCCCACCUCCUCCAAGGCCACACCUCCCCCAAGGCCACACUUUCUCCAAGGCCACACCUCCUCCAGCAAGUCCACACUUCCAAAUCCUUUCAAAUGGUGUUGAUCCCUGAUCCCUAAGCGUUAGAAUAUAUGAGCCUACAGAGCAAUUCUUACACAAACCACCAAAGACAGCUUGGCCUAUAGUGGGGUUUUCUAAGUGUCUGUCCCAAUGGGAGUAGCUAAGUACCAUUUCUGCAAAACAUAAAGUAAGUACCUUUGUUGUUGUUGUUGUUUUUCCUUCACAGGACAAGGUUUUUGACACAUUAUACAUGCCUAUGUAGUUCAAAGUUCUUUGGACUGUGUUGCAACCUCCCGUGAGCCUCUGCGAGGAGGUUACUUCCUAAAGCAGUCUGAAGACAACAACUGAACGUUGACUUCUUUUGGUUUUCUUUUCCCAGUGUACUCUCACAUAAAUUGCUGGGGUUCCAGACGCCAUGAUGCAUUUACGGUAUCUUCAGAGUCCAGAAGAGAGGGAUUCAGGUUUCCUGGAGCUGCAGCUAAAGGUGGGAGCUGAGCUCGGGACCUCUGCGAUAGCAGUCUGUGCUCUUCACUGCUGAGCCAUCGCCUCUCCAGCCUCACAACAUGAGCACACUCAAUCCACUUCAUGUUGCUCAUGUGGACAUGGGUAUCCAGCCAUCCCCUGAGGUUUGGGCAGCCUACUGGUCGACACCCACAGAGAAGAGCGACUCUCACCUGACAGUCAUUAAGGCCAAUAUCUUCUCAGAGGUGGAACCUUGGGAGCUCUUCCCCACUCCAUGCUGAAUUUGAACAGGCUUGAUCUUGUGCAGCUCUUAUAUAAUUUCUGCUCGGUCUUCUGCAAUGGCUCCUGCGUGUUGGGUGGUGAGCAGCUAUCUGGACGAUCCAUCCAAAGCUGAGCACUUACACUCACUCCUACUUGGCAUGGAGACCUAAGUCAACUGCUACCCACUGUAUGAAGACGUUUCCCUGGCAAAGGGUGAGAGCAGCACACAUCUGUGGAUGUAGACAUACAUAGUUAGAAGGCAGUUUGAUAAUAUGACCAUUAGCAAACAUAAUCAAAGGGUUCUUCCCUUGGGCCUUUGACUUCCCCAGCCUUGGGUUUUGACUGGGUUUUCAGAACAAGGCAUGAAUCCCUCCUGUAGAACAGGCCUACAUCCAACCUAGAAAACAGCUGGUUACCUCCAUAAACUGUCUUGCCACGAUUGCAACAGUCAGAAGGUCAGUAUUGUAGCAUACUAGUCCUAUCUUUUCUCCUCCAGCAUCCUGCAAAGCCCCUUCUAGCACUAUUAAAGCUAGUCAGUAGGGCAAGAGUUCCCCAGACAAUUCAAGGUCAAUUUCUUUCAUCUUGCAACCAGUGUUUUCCAUAAUAGGUUUUACCAUCUAGUUAUGGGGGGCAACCAAGAGCAGUGGCAAUAACCUGGGUUGUUUGGGAUACCUCUGGGCUUCUCUGAUCUCUAAAUUCCUAGGGACCAGUGCCCGGCACUGAGAUUUUCAUUUAACAACUUAUGUCUUCUGGCAGUAACAACGUGUCCCCGACCUAAAGGUUUGGAGAACAGCCUGGCCACUAAACUGAUAUCUCUCUGCUUCUGUAAACUCUUGUUUACUACAGAUGUCCAGAGCUGCUUUUCAGCACACAUCACAGUUGCAGUUUUUGCCUUUAAAAACUUGAUAAAAUGGAGGUCAAGGCUGCUUCCUGCUACUAUGCCUGAGACAACCCACUGGAGGUAAAGACUCCAUAUGACUUAUCCACACACCUUGGGAAUUUUUCUCUUCAGGUACCCUUUAAUACUUGGGGGCUCCUACCAACAUUUCAGAGAAGACUCCCUCACCCCUGACCCUAGUCAAGGAUCAGGGCUGUCAGUCCAAGGAGAGGUCACGGAGAGAACAUUCCUUGGCCCUAGGAAUCAACUGCCCCUCUCCAACUUUCCCCCUAAAUGUUUUUGAAGAAGUCUACCUACAUUUAUAUUCGGUACCUCUGGACAUAAGAUAAACCUAGGUUUCAGGUUCCUAGUCUUUCUGGGAAAUUGGGGGAACUCAUGGACAAAGGGACACAUGGUAGGAAUUCCCGUAUCCAGGAUUCCCCUUCUCACCCUCAGGAUCUGGUUUGUCUUGGUGGCCACCGAUUUCUGUCUUGUUUGUUGCAUUCGUUUUCAAUGUCUCUUUCCCCUGUCUGUGUUUCUGUGCCCCAUUAAUCUUUUCCAUUUACAGUCAGGCAUGGGAAAUCAAACUUCAACAACACUGUCUCCUGAGACUCAGGUAAGUGUCACCAGAGCUGCCUGCUCUGUCUCUGUUGGCUCCUGGAGCCUAUUACAGUUACAAAAGCUGUACCAGUGUGUCAGACUGCUUCUCCCACCCCUCCUGGGCUGCUAAGCCCUGUCUUCCAGCUCCCUCCUGGAUCUUGUUCCGUCUCUCUUGCCCCAUUGCUCUUCUUUGCUUUGGGCUGCUGCCUCACUAGCUCGAUCUGUCUCUCACCUCCCACCUGGAGCUUCUUCUGUCUCUAGCCAUGGCAAACAACUUGUUUCUUCUUUUCUCCCUUUCUCAUUGCCAGACUGGAGUCUGCUGUUUCACAGGUUCAUCGGGCAUUUCUCUAUGCCUUCCUGGGCCUCUAAUAUACCGUAGUUCUCCAUCUGUCAAAGCCCCUGUUUAAAAUCCUUUCCUCUAAGUUUCUCCCAUCUCUUCUGCUUCUGAAGGAAGUCUUCUUGCCAGCCAUCUCUCAGGUGACUCCUGUCUCUAAGCACUGGGCUCUCAGGCUGCCUCUGCCCGACCCCAGCCAGUGUAGGGUGGUGCUGGCAAUCAUAGUAGGCAGAUCCAUGGCGACCAUAAGUACCUCCACCUGCUUUGUUUUGCCACCUGCUGCCUGUUGUGCUAUGGGAGCUCGCCUGUCCUCAGGGCUCUUAGCUAGAGGGGCACUAGAUUUCCAAAUUCUCACAGGUUGUUCCUCUGCCAUGGCACAAACAAAUGUCCCCAAAUCUCUUAUCUUCAAGCCUUCUUUGCUCUCUGCUCUGAGCCUCCUCUGUUCUCUGCUUGCUCUGGCCUCACCCUCUGGCCACUGGAUUCAGUUUUGCAGGGAUUCAGGUGUCUUUGAGGUCCGGAUAAAAUUAAGAUACUGUUUUGUGUUGUUCUACUCUAUAAAAACGCUGGAUCUGAAAUUGUGCUAUGGCCUUCUUUUUUUCUGCACCCCUCCCCCCAAGCAUGCUUGUUUAAGUCUCCUUCGGGGUUGGGGCUGGUGAGAACAAAGAUGAUGGUGGCCAUUGGCACCUGCCUCAGAGCUCUGAGGAUUCUGAGAGACCCAUGGAAUAUGCAGAGCUCACAGCAACUCUGGAACAACAAUGACAACACCAACAGCAACAACAGCAGCAACAACAGCAACAGCAAUAACAGGCAAGUUGAGAGAUAGGGUUUUAAAUUAGCUCAAAACUCAGCAACAGGAUCUGACUCAGGAAGACAGAUUGUUAAAAAUGCAGGAGAACUGGUAUAGACUCACUGACACUUUGCUUAUCACCGGACCUGAGUAAAUGAGUAAUGGAUUCUGUUCUGCCCCUGUGAUGUUUGUUCAAGCCCCCAUUGUGCCCUCCAGCCAUUUUGUCCUGCAGAAAGUAUUCCAGGAAACGGGCCAAGCCUAACCAGAUGUGUUUCAGACGCAGAUGCCUCAUCAACUCUGACAAACAUUUACCCUAAAGGACAGGAAUCAAGAUCUGUUCUCAGGAGAAUGAGAGCUUGACCUUUCCCCUCAUUUAAACCCUAGAGUCUUAAGAACAAUCCUGUGACUUUGAGAGUUUCCCUUUGUGACAUUUUUGGUAUUUCCUUUUGACAUCCCCUCAUCUCCUGGAGCUUGUGACUUCUUCCUCUAAAAAGCCCUUCUCCCAGCCACUUGGGGUCGACACCUCUGUCUUCUGCGUGGGAUACGUGUCGGCCCGGAGAUCUCCAUAAUAGAUCUCUGUAAUAAACCUUGCCUUUGUGUGUUACACCCAAAAUGGUCUCUGUGUCGGGGGUCCGAGACUUCCCAAGACUUGAGUAAGGGUCUCCCUUCGGGGAUCUUUCAAAGUCUUAUGGGAAGAUGCUUUUGCAAAAUAGACUCAUAAAAUUGGAAAGAAAGACAGUGGAUCAGAGCCCUCAGUAGCAGAUGAAUAUAUACCCUUUACCACCACUCAGCCAACAGGCCGUAAGCACAUAGGUCAUGCAUGAUGAACUGCUGGACACUGCCAGGGAGGACAGGGAGAUGUGUGGCAGCCUUGAGCUCAUGCAGAAACAUGAAAUUACCGAGUAGGGCCGGUCUUAGGCUUGCCAUCAUGGUGAUGCUGUGGCUGCAGUCUGUGCUUCUUGCUCUGCUGAGAGGUGGAGACUACAGGGCAGUGGUAACCCUCAGGCUACAACACAAAGGUGGGUGGAGUCUGGCAAGCCUCCAGGUGGCAGACAUCAAGGGCAGGGAGGUGUUUGGCAGUCAGGAGCUAACAAAGAAGCUGCCCUGGACACUCUGCCUAGUUGCAACAUCACCCUUCCUCUGGGCAAUAGAAAGAUACCAGGAUGCCACAGACUUAGCAGUGGUCCAGUAUUUAUGGUGCUUCAGAAACCAGAAACUUGGAACCAGACCAACUACUUGUUAUAAUGAAUAUUUCAUGUAAAGCUCUUUGGGAGAAAAAUCACACACACACACACACACACACACACACACACACACACACACACACACACUACAGUUUAUUAUGCCACUAUGAUGUAGGAAUACAUGAUGGAGAGGUGGGCAAAAUGGAGGAAC